rnacentral:rRNA from 1 species
CCCUUCACCCGGAGCCGGCUGGUCCGCCCGGCCACCACCGUAUGUUCAACGGGGUUCGAAGUCUAACCUCGGUAAUGAUCCCUCCGUAGGUGAACCUGCGGAGGGAUCAUUACCGRGKYURCGARCGGUCCACMAACCCCUGUGAACAUACCAAUUGUUGCCUCGGCGGAUCAGCCCGCUCCCGGUAAAACGGGACGGCCCGCCAGAGGACCCCUAAACUCUGUUUCUAUAUGUAACUUCUGAGUAAAACCAUAAAUAAAUCAAAACUUUCAACAACGGAUCUCUUGGUUCUGGCAUCGAUGAAGAACGCAGCAAAAUGCGAUAAGUAAUGUGAAUUGCAGAAUUCAGUGAAUCAUCGAAUCUUUGAACGCACAUUGCGCCCGCCAGUAUUCUGGCGGGCAUGCCUGUUCGAGCGUCAUUUCAACCCUCAAGCCCAGCUUGGUGUUGGGACUCGCGAGUCAAAUCGCGUUCCCCAAAUCGAUUGGCGGUCACGUCGAGCUUCCAUAGCGUAGUAGUAAAACCCUCGUUACUGGUAAUCGUCGCGGCCACGCCGUUAAACCCCAACUUCUGAAUGUUGACCUCGGAUCASGUAGUGMMUMCCUCSCYSAACUUAAGCAUAUCAAUAGGCGGGAGGAAA